rnacentral:lncRNA from 1 species
CCCUCCCCAGUGCCCUCAUUCCCCUGCUUCUGGGGCCUGUACUCUCCCCUAAAAGCUAGGACUAUAGGCCAGGGGACAGACUGUAUCCUAUAAGCCAUUAUCUACAUCCAUCCUUUCCCAACUCCUCUGUGGGACAAAAUGGACCUGAGUAAACACUGCAGCUUGUCAUACUGCUACUCAUGUUCCCUACGUCUAACUGUUCUUAUGGAAGUCACUUCUUUGCUGUUCGAGAUCUCCAUGAAAACCCAACUGAGGGAAGUGAAAGAAGUCUGGAAGUACCAAAUACCUCCCAAUGCCUUCCUUCACAGAUGGCAGAGACUGGAUUUGCAGCUCACUCCACUUUGUAUUACUGCCCUCCCUGGGUUCAAUUCAAUGGAAAAAGAUGCACGCUUGCCUAGUUCCUUCUUUGGCUGUGGAGAAUAUUCUUUCAUCAUGCAUGCCUUGUGGAUAUCUAGGGACCUUACUUUGCUUAAAAUAGAUGGAGCGUUUGUUGACGGUUCUGUGACAGCUUGAAAACUUGUCUCCUACCCCUGAGUUGAGGCCGUUCUGCCUCGUCCUCCAUCUGCCAUCUCAUUUUAAAACUACCAGAACAACUCGAGUGAAGCAAUUUCGACUUUUUCCAUCUGUGCAGAGUUAAUUAAGAGGGUAAUGAGAGCUCUGAAUGAACAAGCCCUGCAUUAAUUCAAGAUAUGAUUAAGAGAAACAUUUCCAAAAUCUGUCUAUAUAUGUUAUAUGUGUAAUACACGUGUGUGUGCGUGAGUGCAUGCGAGACAAGGAUUCUCUAUUUGUGUGUAAACAAACGGAGACCUGGCUAAUGGCUGCAAUGGAUUCAAGGAAAUAUGGCAGCCAGGAGCCAAGCCCUCUCUCUACAUGUAACAGUGAUAUGUAACAGGCUUAGGGAGAAAGGUAUCAAGGCCACAGGAUGUGGGACAGGUGGGCUCUUGCUCCUCACUGCCCAAGUAGAGAGGGGGCCAAGUAGCAAGUUUGGUCAGGGCAGUAGCUGCCACAAAGGGUUUUGAUGAAAGCUGGUCCUGGCUGAGUGGCUGAUCAAG